rnacentral:misc_RNA from 1 species
GAGUUGAGUUGAGUUGAAUUGAUGCAGAAACUACGGGUCUUAAUUUGAUAGAUCAUCUUACUUGAUUCGCAAAAGAACCAUCAAGAGCAUUGGUGCAUUGAUUCUUGCUGACUGUUAACAUUCCUAAUAUUUAUAUGAAAUUUGAUGACUAAGACUAAUAAUGAACAGAACUUGUAAGAGGAUAUAUGAAGACUAGAAAUAACAUAUUGUUGCUUGGCAUGCAGAGAUGCUCUUGAUGCAUU